AGGGUAAUAGCUCAGUGAUAGAGUGGGUGUUUCAUAUGUACAAAGUCCUGGGUUCAAUCUCCAGUUCCUCCA
rnacentral:tRNA from 1 species